rnacentral:lncRNA from 1 species
UGCUCAGCAGAUAUUUAUUAAGUGAAGGGAAGGAGAAAGCAGGGAGUCUGAGCAUUUCUAAUGGAGUGGAAGCUACCAUCAAGGAGGUUCCCAUUGGAAAGUAGGGAUCUUACAAAGAUUUUUGAGGGUGGCAAGGAGGACAAAGGCAAAGCUCUUCUUGAGUGGGCAGCUUGCUGAUAAGCCUUGUCUCUAAUCAGGACUGCCCCUUCACCUGGGAAUCAGCUUUUGAAAGAAAGGACGUAUAGUGGAUACAUGUUUUUGUCUGCCCAGUACCCCGUGUUUUUUAGUAAUAACUCCCAGCCAAGUGUGUAACUGAAGAUGGACCAAUUGUAGCACCUCACGCCUUUGCAAGUUGGAAAAGACCUAAUGGAUGCACUUGAGCCAUUGAUUCAGUUAUCCC